rnacentral:rRNA from 1 species
AUUGAACGCUGGCGGCAGGCUUAACACAUGCAAGUCGAGCGGGGUGAGGUGUUUCGGUACUGAUCCUAGCGGCGGACGGGUGAGUAAUGCUUAGGAAUCUGCCUAUUAGUGGGGGACAACAUUCCGAAAGGAAUGCUAAUACCGCAUACGUCCUACGGGAGAAAGCAGGGGAUCUUCGGACCUUGCGCUAAUAGAUGAGCCUAAGUCGGAUUAGCUAGUUGGUGGGGUAAAGGCCUACCAAGGCGACGAUCUGUAGCGGGUCUGAGAGGAUGAUCCGCCACACUGGGACUGAGACACGGCCCAGACUCCUACGGGAGGCAGCAGUGGGGAAUAUUGGACAAUGGGCGGAAGCCUGAUCCAGCCAUGCCGCGUGUGUGAAGAAGGCCUUUUGGUUGUAAAGCACUUUAAGCGAGGAGGAGGCUACCUAGAUUAAUACUCUGGGAUAGUGACGUUGCUCGCAGAAUAAGCACCGGCUAACUCUGUGCCAGCAGCCGCGGUAACAC